rnacentral:rRNA from 1 species
UACGGAGGGGCUAGCGUUGUUCGGAAUUACUGGGCGUAAAGCGCGCGUAGGCGGCUUUGUAAGUUAGAGGUGAAAGCCCGGAGCUCAACUCCGGAACUGCCUUUAAGACUGCAUCGCUAGAACGAUGGAGAGGUGAGUGGAAUUCCGAGUGUAGAGGUGAAAUUCGUAGAUAUCAGGAGGAACACCGGUGGCGAAGGCGGAUCUCUGGGCCAUUACUGACGGCUGAGGCACGAAAGCGUGGGGAGCCAAACAGG